rnacentral:rRNA from 1 species
GAUUGAACGCUGGCGGCAGGCCUAACACAUGCAAGUCGAGCCGUAGAGAGAAGCUUGCUUCUCUUGAGAGCGGCGGACGGGUGAGUAAUGCCUAGGAAUCUGCCUGGUAGUGGGGGAUAACGCUCGGAAACGGACGCUAAUACCGCAUACGUCCUACGGGAGAAAGCAGGGGACAUUCGGGCCUUGCGCUAUCAGAUGAGCCUAGGUCGGAUUAGCUAGUUGGUGAGGUAAUGGCUCACCAAGGCGACGAUCCGUAACUGGUCUGAGAGGAUGAUCAGUCACACUGGAACUGAGACACGGUCCAGACUCCUACGGGAGGCAGCAGUGGGGAAUAUUGGACAAUGGGCGAAAGCCUGAUCCAGCCAUGCCGCGUGUGUGAAGAAGGUCUUCGGAUUGUAAAGCACUUUAAGUUGGGAGGAAGGGUUGUAGAUUAAUACUCUGCAAUUUUGACGUUACC